rnacentral:rRNA from 1 species
CAGUCGCCGCGGGAAAACGAAGGGGGCUAGCGUUGCUCGGAAUGACUGGGCGUAAAGGGCGCGUAGGCGGAUGGCACAGUCAGAUGUGAAAUUCCCGGGCUUAACCUGGGGGCUGCAUUUGAUACGUGUUGUCUAGAGUGAGGAAGAGGGUCGUGGAAUUCCCAGUGUAGAGGUGAAAUUCGUAGAUAUUGGGAAGAACACCGGUGGCGAAGGCGGCGACCUGGUCCUUUACUGACGCUGAGGCGCGAAAGCGUGAGGAGCAAACAGGAUUAGAUACCCGUGUAGUCCCUGUCUCUUAUAC